GGCGCAGGUCCUUCCGGCUCACAUGGCGGAUCCUUCUGCUUCCUGAGAGAAGCUUGCACAGGAUGUUGCCGUGAGCUCUAAACCCUCCGCUGGGUCCUUCAGGUCUCCAACGCUCAGACAGAAGUCUUGGACUCUUCUAUGUCUGACUCUAAGUGAGUUCUGGGCCUGUGAAGAAACCUUGCUGAUGAUUGGAAGGAGACUGUCAAGAGAGGUUACAGGACCAGGUAAUGAAAGGACUUUUACCAAGACCACAAGAGAGAUUCUGAGAGAAGCUAUUCUAGAAUGGCAAAUGCAACAGAAUAAAACAAGGAGAGAACUGUGAAGAGGUCAGUGGAUUUGACAAAGAACACCCUGCGGAUGGCUACAGAGAAAGUCUUCGCUGACUCUACAUUGCCUAGAAAGAAAUAUUCAGAAUACUUAAAUUGGCGUUCAAAAGCUUGGAAAAUGAAGGUCCAACCUAGUGUUCCAACAUUAUCCUUCAAGAUACAGAAGUAUGAAAAGUGCUGGCUCUAUAGACUUAUGAACUUGGGCCAAUUAUUCCCUUCUGUAAGCCUCAGUAACCUCAGAGCUAAAUUGAAGAAAAUAAGGGCACUGAUCUAAUACUCUUAUUUAAUUAUGUUAAAUGUCAUAAUAUAUGCAAAGUUUCUGAAAGAGAAUACAGACAAAAAUUGCUCAAUACAGCUUAAUUUAAAAACAUUUUUAUUAUUUAUUUGGCUCAUGACUUCUUCAUAUUACAUACUUCUCAUUCCAAAUUAUCCCAC
rnacentral:lncRNA from 1 species